UACAGAGGGUGCGAGCGUUAAUCGGAAUGACUGGGCGUAAAGGGUGUGUAGGUGGUUUAAUAAGUUAGGUGUGAAAGUCCUGGGCUUAACCUGGGGAGGUCGCUUAAGACUGUUAAGCUAGAGUACUGUAGAGGAAAGUGGAAUUUCCGGUGUAGCAGUGAAAUGCGUAGAUAUCGGAAGGAACAUCAGUGGCGAAGGCGACUUUCUGGACAGAUACUGACACUGAGGCACGAAAGCGUGGGGAGCAAGCAGG
rnacentral:rRNA from 1 species